rnacentral:rRNA from 1 species
ACGCCGACCUCAGAUCAGGUAAGACU